GAUCGUGGAGAGACAGGAGUCCCUGGUGCACCUGGAUCAUCUGUUUGGGGACCUCCUGGACCAAAGGGAGAUCCAGGACACAAGGGACCACCAGGAGAUGAUGGACGUCCUGGAAAUUCAAUAAUGGGACCAACGGGGCGCAUAGGACCACCUGGGCCACCUGGACCCCAAGGACCAAAAGCUGAC